AGGGAGCCCGCGCGGAUGCCAUCGCCGCCGUCGGCGCUCUGCUCGCCAUGCCGCCGCAGCGUGUACUCCUGAUCGUCCUCCUCCUGCUCUCCUCCGCGCGCAGCAGCCUGGAGGCGGAGGAGUCGGCGAGGGCCCUCAGCGUCGGCGAUGAGCUGGUGGGCGAGACGAUGCCGCUCCGCCACGGCCGGAGGGUCUACAGGCUCGCCGGGCUGCGCCCGCCCGCGUGGUACGAAGUCAAGAUCUCCUACCCGGCCUCCAUACCGUCGAGCUUCUCGAUUCGGCUCGUGACCGAUCCUGGUGCUGUGGAGGACCAGGGGAGCAAGAACAGGAGGCUGCUCAACACGGAGAAGAUCAUUUUCCAGGCUGAGAGCACCAAGCCGGUGUAUGUUCUUGUCACGGUGGAGCCGGAGGGUGUGGUUGCGAAGCCAAAUGUGCAGGAGAGAGAGCUUGCCUUGUUCAACAUUGUGUGUGAUGAGCUUUUGCUGGGGAUCCCUCGCUUUGCCUGGUGGGUUGGAAUUGCAGCAGUGAUUUGCCUUGUGUUGGCAUCACUGGCACCAUAUUUCCUCCCGAUCCACAAGCUACUCAACUACGAAGCUGCAAAGUCGAGCGACGCCGAUGCGGCCAAGCUCUCGUGAUCAACCAGAACACGCUGUAUGAAUCUUCAGCUUUGGCUGUCAAACAACUAAGUUCAGUUCAGUUCAGUUCAAUUUUGCAUAGUAGCAGCCUAGUGUACAUGUAUUGUGCCCUUUCUUCUUUCCUUCCUUUUUGCCCUCUUCCGGAGGCAGUUGUACAAGCAUCUGAUGACUGAUGGUGACUUUGCCCUAGUGUUUAAUGCAAGAUAUGCCGCUCGAUCCUGUGCGGUUGCCUCAUCAAUGAAUCGAAAUGUCGUUUUAUUGAAUGAAUGAUUUGCCAGUUGCACCA